GGCGCUAUCGUCUAGUGGUCAGGACACGGCCUUUUCAAGGCUGUAACACGGGUUCGACUCCCGUUAGCGCCG
rnacentral:tRNA from 1 species